rnacentral:rRNA from 1 species
UACGAGGGGGGCAAGCGUUGUUCGGAAUUAUUGGGCGUAAAGGGCGCGUAGGCGGUGCGGUAAGUCACCUGUGAAAUCUCCGAGCUUAACUCGGAAAGGUCAACUGAUACUGUGCGACUAGAGUGCGGAAGGGGCAACUGGAAUUCUUGGUGUAGCGGUGAAAUGCGUAGAUAUCAAGAGGAACACCUGCGGCGAAGGCGGGUUGCUGGGCCGACACUGCCGCUGAUGCGCGAAAGCCAGGGGAGCGAACGGG